AGAGUUUGAUCCUGGCUCAGGAUGAACGCUGGCGGCGUGCCUAAUACAUGCAAGUCGAACGCUUCACUUCGGUGAAGAGUGGCGAACGGGUGAGUAAUACAUAAGUAACCUGGCAUCUACAGGGGGAUAACUGAUGGAAACGUCAGCUAAGACCGCAUAGGUGUAGAGAUCGCAUGAACUCUAUAUGAAAAGUGCUACGGGACUGGUAGAUGAUGGACUUAUGGCGCAUUAGCUGGUUGGUAGGGUAACGGCCUACCAAGGCGACGAUGCGUAGCCGACCUGAGAGGGUGACCGGCCACACUGGGACUGAGACACGGCCCAGACUCCUACGGGAGGCAGCAGUAGGGAAUUUUCGGCAAUGGGGGAAACCCUGACCGAGCAACGCCGCGUGAAGGAAGAAGUAAUUCGUUAUGUAAACUUCUGUCAUAGAGGAAGAACGGUGGAUAUAGGGAAUGAUAUCCAAGUGACGGUACUCUAUAAGAAAGCCACGGCUAACUACGUGCCAGCAGCCGCGGUAAUACGUAGGUGGCGAGCGUUAUCCGGAAUUAUUGGGCGUAAAGAGGGAGCAGGCGGCACUAAGGGUCUGUGGUGAAAGAUCGAAGCUUAACUUCGGUAAGCCAUGGAAACCGUAGAGCUAGAGUGUGUGAGAGGAUCGUGGAAUUCCAUGUGUAGCGGUGAAAUGCGUAGAUAUAUGGAGGAACACCAGUGGCGAAGGCGACGAUCUGGCGCAUAACUGACGCUCAGUCCCGAAAGCGUGGGGAGCAAAGAGGAUUAGAUACCCUAGUAGUCCACGCCGUAACC
rnacentral:rRNA from 1 species